GACGAACGCUGGCGGCGUGCUUAACACAUGCAAGUCGAACGGAAAGGCCCUGCUUGCAGGGUACUCGAGUGGCGAACGGGUGAGUAACACGUGGGUGAUCUGCCCUGCACUUCGGGAUAAGCCUGGGAAACUGGGUCUAAUACCGGAUAGGAGCCAUUUUUAGUGUGAUGGUUGGAAAGUUUUUUCGGUGUAGGAUGAGCUCGCGGCCUAUCAGCUUGUUGGUGGGGUAAUGGCCUACCAAGGCGGCGACGGGUAGCCGGCCUGAGAGGGUGGACGGCCACAUUGGGACUGAGAUACGGCCCAGACUCCGACGGGAGGCAGCAGUGGGGAAUAUUGCACAAUGGGCGCAAGCCUGAUGCAGCGACGCCGCGGGGGGGAUGACGGCCUUCGGGUUGUAAACUCCUUUCGCUAGGGACGAAGCUUUUUGUGACGGUACCUAGAUAAGAAGCACCGGCUAACUACGUG
rnacentral:rRNA from 1 species